rnacentral:rRNA from 1 species
CCUACGGGAGGCAGCAGUGGGGAAUCUUGCGCAAUGGGCGAAAGCCUGACGCAGCCAUGCCGCGUGAAUGAUGAAGGUCUUAGGAUUGUAAAAUUCUUUCACCGGGGACGAUAAUGACGGUACCCGGAGAAGAAGCCCCGGCUAACUUCGUGCCAGCAGCCGCGGUAAUACGAAGGGGGCUAGCGUUGCUCGGAAUUACUGGGCGUAAAGGGAGCGUAGGCGGAUAGUUUAGUCAGAGGUGAAAGCCCAGGGCUCAACCUUGGAAUUGCCUUUGAUACUGGCUAUCUUGAGUUUGGGAGAGGUGAGUGGAACUCCGAGUGUAGAGGUGAAAUUCGUAGAUAUUCGGAAGAACACCAGUGGCGAAGGCGACUCACUGGCCCAAUACUGACGCUGAGGCUCGAAAGCGUGGGGAGCAAACAGGAUUAGAUACCCUGGUAGUCCACGCCGUAAACGAUGAGUGCUAGUUGUCGGCAUGCAUGCAUGUCGGUGACGCAGCUAACGCAUUAAGCACUCCGCCUGGGGAGUACGGUCGCAAGNUUAAAACUCAAAGGAAUUGACGG